rnacentral:rRNA from 1 species
UACAGAGGGUGCAAGCGUUACUCGGAUUUACUGGGCGUAAAGCGUGCGUAGGCGGCUUUGUAAGUUAGAGGUGAAAGCCCAGGGCUCAACCCUGGAAUUGCCUUUAAGACUGCAUCGCUUGAACAUCGGAGAGGUAAGUGGAAUUCCGAGUGUAGAGGUGAAAUUCGUAGAUAUUCGGAAGAACACCAGUGGCGAAGGCGACUUACUGGACGAUUGUUGACGCUGAGGUGCGAAAGCGUGGGGAGCAAACAGG